UACGAAGGGGGCUAGCGUUGCUCGGAAUGACUGGGCGUAAAGGGCGCGUAGGCGGUUUGGACAGUCAGAUGUGAAAUUCCUGGGCUCAACCUGGGGGCUGCAUUUGAUACGUUCGGACUAGAGUGGGGAAGAGGGUCGUGGAAUUCCCAGUGUAGAGGUGAAAUGCGUAGAUAUCGAGAGGAACACCUGCGGCGAAGGCGGGUUGCUGGGCUGACACUGACGCUGAGGCGCGAAAGCUAGGGGAGCGAACGGG
rnacentral:rRNA from 1 species